rnacentral:rRNA from 1 species
UUCCAGACUCCUACGGGAGGCAGCAGUGGGGAAUAUUGCACAAUGGGGGGAACCCUGAUGCAGCGACGCCGCGUGGGUGAAGGAGCACCUCGGUGCGUAAAGCCCUAUCGGCAGGGAAGAAAAGCGAACAGGUUCGCCUGGACGGUACCUGACUAAGAAGCCCCGGCUCACUACGUGCCAGCAGCCGCGGUAAUACGUAGGGGGCAAGCGUUAUCCGGAUUUACUGGGUGUAAAGGGAGCGUAGACGGCAGUGCAAGUCUGAAGUGAAAGGCGGGGGCCCAACCCCCGGACUGCUUUGGAAACUGUGCUGCUGGAGUGCAGGAGAGGCAAGUGGAAUUCCUAGUGUAGCGGUGAAAUGCGUAGAUAUUAGGAGGAACACCAGUGGCGAAGGCGGCUUGCUGGACUGUAACUGACGUUGAGGCUCGAAAGCGUGGGGAGCAAACAGGAUUAGAUACCCUUGUA